GAUGAACGCUGGCGGCGUGCCUAAUACAUGCAAGUCGAGCGAAUGGAUUAAGAGCUUGCUCUUAUGAAGUUAGCGGCGGACGGGUGAGUAACACGUGGGUAACCUGCCCAUAAGACUGGGAUAACUCCGGGAAACCGGGGCUAAUACCGGAUAACAUUUUGAACAGCAUGGUUCGAAAUUGAAAGGCGGCUUCGGCUGUCACUUAUGGAUGGACCCGCGUCGCAUAAGCGAGUUGGUGAGGUAACGGCUCACCAAGGCAACGAUGCGUAGCCGACCUGAGAGGGUGAUCGGCCACACUGGGACGGAGACACGGCCCAGACGCCUACGGGAGGCAGCAGUAGGGAAUCUUCCGCAAUGGACGAAAGUCUGACGGAGCAACGCCGCGUGAGUGAUGAAGGCUUUCGGGUCGUAAAACUCUGUUGUUAGGGAAGAACAAGUGCUAGUUGAAUAAGCUGGCACCUUGACGGUACCUAACCAGAAAGCCACGGCUAACUACGUGCCAGCAGCCGCGGUAA
rnacentral:rRNA from 1 species